UACGUAGGGGGCUAGCGUUGUCCGGAAUUAUUGGGCGUAAAGAGCUCGUAGGCGGUGUGUCGCGUCGGCCGUGAAAACCUGGGGCUUAACUCUGGGCUUGCGGUCGAUACGGGCAUCACUGGAGUUCGGCAGGGGAGACUGGAAUUCCUGGUGUAGCGGUGAAAUGCGCAGAUAUCAGGAGGAACACCGGUGGCGAAGGCGGGUCUCUGGGCCGAUACUGACGCUGAGGAGCGAAAGCGUGGGGAGCGAACAGG
rnacentral:rRNA from 1 species